AACCAUAGAAACCUGCGGAGUACCUGCGGAAGGAUCAUUACAGAGUUAUCCAACUCCCAAACCCAUGUGAACUUAUCUCUUUGUUGCCUCGGCGCAAGCUACCCGGGACCCAGCGCCCCGGGCGGCCCGCCGGCGGACAAACCAAAACUCUUGUUAUCUUAGUUGAUUAUCUGAGCGUCUUAUUUAAUAAGUCAAAACUUUCAACAAUGGAUCU
rnacentral:misc_RNA from 1 species